UGGGGAAUUUUGCACAAUGGGGGAAACCCUGAUGCAGCGACGCCGCGUGAUUUAGAAGGCCUUCGGGUUGUAAAAAUCUUUUCUAUGGGAAGAAAAUGACAGUACCAUAGGAAUAAGGACCGGCUAAUUACGUGCCAGCAGCCGCGGUAAUACGUAAGGUCCGAGCGUUGUCCGGAAUCAUUGGGCGUAAAGGGUACGUAGGCGGGUAAGCAAGUUAGAAGUGAAAUCCUAUAGCUCAACUAUAGUAAGCUUUUAAAACUGCUCAUCUUGAGGUAUGGAAGGGAAAGUGGAAUUCCUAGUGUAGCGGUGAAAUGCGCAGAUAUUAGAAGGAAUACCGGUGGCGAAGGCGACUUUCUGGCCAUAACCUGACGCUGAGGUACGAAAGCGUGGGUAGCAAACAGG
rnacentral:rRNA from 1 species